GAUGAAGAACGUAGCGAAAUGCGAUAAGUAAUGUGAAUUGCAGAAUUCAGUGAAUCAUCGAAUCUUUGAACGCACCUUGCGCUCCGUGGUAUUCCGAGGAGCAUGCCUGUUUGAGUGUCAUUAAAUUCUCAACCUUUCCAGCUUUUGCGAGUUUGGAUUGGCUUGGAUGUGGAGGUUUGCAGGCUUCUCAGAAGUCAGCUCCUCUUAAAUGCAUUAGUGGAAACUUUGUGGACCAGCUUUGGUGUGAUAAUUAUCUAUGCCAUGGUUGUAAAGCAGUUUUUAUAUGGGGUUCAGCUUCUAACAGUCCAUUGACUUGGACAAUUUCUGACAUUUUGACCUCAAAUCAGGUAGGACUACCCGCUGAACUUAAGCAUAUCAAUAAGCGGAGGA
rnacentral:misc_RNA from 1 species